GGGGGUGUAGCUCAGCGGUAAAGCGCGUGCUUAGCAUGCUCGAGGCCCCGGGUUCAAUUCCCGGCACCUCCA